rnacentral:rRNA from 1 species
AACGAACGCUGGCGGCAUGCCUAACACAUGCAAGUCGAACGAGAUCUUCGGGUCUAGUGGCGCACGGGUGCGUAACGCGUGGGAAUCUGCCCUUUGGUUCGGAACAACAGUUGGAAACGACUGCUAAUACCGGAUGAUGACGAAAGUCCAAAGAUUUAUCGCCAGAGGAUGAGCCCGCGUAGGAUUAGCUAGUUGGUGUGGUAAAGGCGCACCAAGGCGACGAUCCUUAGCUGGUCUGGGAGGAUGAUCAGCCACACUGGGACUGAGACACGGCCCAGACUCCUACGGGAGGCAGCAGUGGGGAAUAUUGGACAAUGGGCGAAAGCCUGAUCCAGCAAUGCCGCGUGAGUGAUGAAGGCCUUAGGGUUGUAAAGCUCUUUUACCCGGGAUGAUAAUGACAGUACCGGGAGAAUAAGCUCCGGCUAACUCCGUGCCAGCCGCCGCAGUAA